rnacentral:rRNA from 1 species
GACGAACGCUGGCGGCGUGCUUAACACAUGCAAGUCGAACGAAGAGCGAUGGAAGCUUGCUUCUAUCAAUCUUAGUGGCGAACGGGUGAGUAACGCGUAAUCAACCUGCCCUUCAGAGGGGGACAACAGUUGGAAACGACUGCUAAUACCGCAUACGAUCUAACCUCGGCAUCGAGGAUAGAUGAAAGGUGGCCUCUACAUGUAAGCUAUCACUGAAGGAGGGGAUUGCGUCUGAUUAGCUAGUUGGAGGGGUAACGGCCCACCAAGGCGAUGAUCAGUAGCCGGUCGGAGAGGAUGAACGGCCACAUUGGGACUGAGACACGGCCCAGACUCCUACGGGAGGCAGCAGUGGGGAAUCUUCCGCAAUGGACGAAAGUCUGACGGAGCAACGCCGCGUGAGUGAUGACGGCCUUCGGGUUGUAAAGCUCUGUUAAUCGGGACGAAAGGCCUUCUUGCGAAUAGUUAGAAGGAUUGACGGUACCGGAAUAGAAAGCCACGGCUAACUACGUG